CCUACGGGUGGCUGCAGUGAGGAAUAUUGGUCAAUGGACGAGAGUCUGAACCAGCCAAGUAGCGUGAAGGAUGACGGCCCUAUGGGUUGUAAACUUCUUUUAUAUGGGAAUAAAACGUUCCACGUGUGGGAUUUUGUAUGUACCAUAUGAAUAAGGAUCGGCUAACUACGUGCCAGCAGCCGCGGUAAUACGGAGGAUACGAGCGUUAUCCGGAUUUAUUGGGUUUAACGGGAGCGUAGGUGGAUUGUUAAGUCAGUUGUGAAAGUUUGCGGCUCAACCGUAAAAUUGCAGUUGAAACUGGCAGUCUUGAGUACAGUAGAGGUGGGCGGAAUUCGUGGUGUAGCGGUGAAAUGCUUAGAUAUCACGAAGAACUCCGAUUGCGAAGGCAGUUCACUGGACUGCAACUGACACUGAGGCUCGAAAGUGUGGGUAUCAAACAGGAUUAGAUACCCUUGUAGUC
rnacentral:rRNA from 1 species